GGAACAAGCAAUCAGGUUGGCUGUAACGGGGAAUGCCUGUGGGAAGCUGGGCUGGAGCCAGAUUGUGGAGGACCAUUGCCGACAGGAAAGUACCAAGGUGUCUUGAGCAGGGGAAGAUCAUGCUUAAGGAUCCAGGUCCCUGCCUUAUGGCUGACUGACCCCUUUGAGUGGGAUACUAGGGAGCCUGAACAAGGAUGGCUGUGGUGUGAAUGGAGGAAAGGGUUGGGGGUGGGGGGGCAUUGAUGAGAUUUUAAACUGAUUGAAUAUGAGGAGUGAGUGAGAGUGAAGGAAGGGGCAAGGCUGACUUGCAAGGCUUGCAGACCUGGGUGGUGACCGCAACAGAAAUAAGAAUAAUAAGAAAUAAUGUUGAGGAUGACUUGGAAAUUGCUGAACAUGAGAAGACUUGUCUGAACUGAGAUUUAAGUGAAGAAAGCAGAAGCCGGAGAACAUAUACAAUGACUUUGAUAAUGUAUGUGAAAGCCAGCACUAAAGCACAUUAGAACGUGAAGGAAAUCCAGCGCGUGAGGAUGGAACCCAGGCCAUCUCAAAUCAGAAAUGGAGAUGCCAGUUUCAGAGUCAUUAUAGGAAAGAGAAAUAUUGUCAUCACAAGAAGGCAAGAAAUUGGAAAUCUGCGCAGAGCCUUCCAGGGCUGCAAGUUGUGGUGUGCCAUCAGCACAGUCAUUUCCUUGCAAAAUGGUGUGGACAGGGCAAUGGCCAAUGGCCAAGGCAGUGGGGAGUUUCAGAGCAGAAGAGAUGAAAUCUACAUUUGCAUUGACCUUCGCAGCAGAAGUCAAAAAAGCCCUCCAUAACCAAAGCAUCCCAACAGGCUGCCAGCCACCAAAGGCAUUCUGUGAAUCAAUAUAAACGAUGGUGCUUUUGCCUUUGGCAAGGCAACACACUCAACAGCUUGGAUGCUGAGACUGAGAGGCAGCAAAGGUGCUCGGACAGUGGCAUAGUCAGAAAGGCCAGCACCAUCUCUCAUAAAAGAGAACCCAUUGGCAUGCAAAACAUAAUCAGGAUCGUGCAAGGGGCGAUCCAAAAGUGACCAAGUCUAUUACUAAGGCACAGUCAUGGAGUGGCUCCCCCGAGACUGGCACAGUGUUUGUGGGAGAUUUUCUUUGCUGAGCAAGGACACUUCACAUUUGGCAGGUCUCUGAUCUGAAAAGGCCUAAGCUCAGUGUCAAAGUAAGGAGGCCUCUACUUCAUGGGGUCACUGCACUAUGAACUUGGAACCCCAAACCAAAUCACAAGCCUUCUCUACUAAAAGGGUGGUGCUCCAGCAGCCACAGAAUCAAGCUGGGUAGAAUAAUAAUCCAGUGGGCACAGAGUGGGUCCGAAUGUUGGAGUCAGAACACCAGAAGCCACCCCUUUUGCUUGUGUAUAAAAAGAGAAAAGGACUUACUCUAAUCGAGCCCUCGUGCAGAUGCCAAGGCCCACAGGGGCAGAGAGAUGUUGAGUGUUGAGCUGCAAAGGUUCCAGAACAGAGUCUUUAGUCAGAGAGACAGGGGGCUUGGUAAUCUCACCAAAGGAAAGAAUCCACUGCCUCCAGGAUCUGGCCACUCAAAGCAUGGCAUACAGCUGCCACUUGGUGGUAGGUGCAGAGUUGUUAAAUGGUCUGAAUGCCUAAAGCCAUUCAGAAUGAGUCCCAGCAGUCAAAAUAAAGCCGAAACAUUCCAUCUGUGGAAAUCA
ensembl:lncRNA